UACAGAGGUCUCAACCGUUGUUCGGAUUCAUUGGGCGUAAAGGGUGCGUAGGCGGUCGCGCAAGUCGGAUGUGAAUCUCAGGCUCAACCCUGAAACUGCAUUCGAUACUGCGUGGCUAGAGUGCUGGAGAGGAGACUGGAAUUACGGUGUAGCAGUGAAAUGCGUAGAUAUCGUAAGGAAGACCAGUGGCGAAGGCGAGUCUCUGGACAG
rnacentral:rRNA from 1 species